rnacentral:rRNA from 1 species
UUUCGCAAUGCCCGAAAGGGUGACGAAGCGACGCCGCGUGUGGGAAGAAGGCCUUCGGGUUGUAAAACACUGUCGGGAGUUAAGAAAUGUAAGGGUGCUAAUAGUAUCCUUACUUGACUAAGGCUCCGGAGGAAGCCACGGCUAACUCUGUGCCAGCAGCCGCGGUAAUACAGAGGCGGCAAGCGUUGUUCGGAAUUAUUGGGCGUAAGGAGCACGUAGGCGGCCUUGUAAGUCAGUUGUGAAAGCCUUCUGCUUAACGGAAGAACAGCAUCUGAUACUGCAAGGCUAGAGUGCGGAAGGGGAGAGUGGAACUUCUGGUGGAGCGGUGAAAUGCGUAGAUAUCAGAAGGAACACCGGCGGCGAAUGCGACUCUCUGGUCCGUAACUGACGCUGAGUGUGCGAAAGCUAGGGGAGCAAACGGGAUUAGAUACCCCGGUAGUCCUAGCCGUAAACGAUGGGCACUAAGUAGAGGGGUUUUA